CCGGUUCUAGUGGCGGGUUCUGGUUCUGCCGCUGCCGCUGCCGUGUAGGCUCUGCAGUGGACUGAUGUGUGAUCAGCUCGGUGACACCGUCUCUUCACCGUGAAUCUCGCUCCACCAUGGGCAACGACAACAGCACUCCGGACGUGCCGCCACAAGGGGGCACCUCUGACAACGUGGUGCUCUUCCCUCCUCACUCUGACCAUUCAGAGCCUCAACAUCAGGCUGAAGUUCACACAGAAAGAUCAGCAGCGGAGAAGAGGGAGAGCAGGGCAGAGAGCGGAGCGGUCCACACCUCGCUGCCCGCAGCCCACGGACAGGACGCACAGGGCAGCCCGUCGCCACGGCUACCGCGCUCUGCCGAGGACGAGGAGCGGUGGGGGUGCCGGGCGGAGGACAGGGAGGAGCUGGAGUUUCCACAUGACCUGCUGCCCAGCACUGACCUCAGCACCGAGCUCAACCUCUCUUGGGGGACGUCUCUUGGGAGUGAACAGGUGAGCUCAGGUGAGAUGAAGAGUGAGACAGUGACACGGUCCGGCCCAGCAAACCCUCUCUUGGCUGGGCUGCAGCACUACCUGGACGUGAGCCCCCCCGCCCUGGGCAUUGGGAAGAGGUAUCAGAGAUCACACACACCCCCAGAGAGAGGGACACAGAUGUGUGGCCUUAUCUACACACCCCCAGAGAGAGGGACACAGAUGUGUGGCCUUAUCUACACACCCCCAGAGAGAGGGAGACAGAUGUGUGGCCUUAUCAGCCUGAGGCUUCUGGGGCCUGUGUUCCCACCUAGGGACCUCUUUUUAUUUGAUCACUAUUUCUUCCUGUCAAUUUGAUGUGCACCCUGCCUGCUUGAAAAGGCAGAGCAUCCAUCCAUUAGGCCCGAUCGAUCAGGCCAUACAUCUCUCCCUCUCUUUGUGGUGGUCAUCAUCUCUCCCUCUCUUUGUGCUGGUCAGGAUGUGAGUGUGUGUAUUGAUUUGCAGUGGUUUGUGAGGAAGGACACCCUGGCGUGUGCUUUAGUGUGCUGUCUUGUCUUGAGUGAGCUUUUUAAAUAUCUUCCGUCGUCGUCUGAGUUUGGUGAGAGUUUUUUCUCCAGGCCUGUGUUUUUGUGCGAUUGGCUGAUGACUCUUGGCUUCUCUUACCUGACCUGGCUGCCGUAUCUAACAUCCGCUUGCUGAGUGGCUCCUCUGGUGAACCUGGCUCCGGUCUGCACACCGCAGCUGAAUGGGUUUCAGUCAGAGGCCGGUAAGCUUCAGGAAAUGGUUGUGGAACACCAUGACAACCAGCGCAAACUAACAGGUGUGGAGACCACUUCAGAGAGAGAGAGAGAGAGAGAGAGAGAGAAUAUAUCUAACAGGUGUGGAAACAGCUUCAGAGAGAGAGAGAGAGAGAGAGAGAGAGCAUCUAACAGGUGUGGAAACAGCUUCAGAGAGAGAGAGAGAGAGAGAGAGAGCCUGCCCACCCGCCUGCCCAGUGUUUGACUUGUAGUGCUAUGACUCUCUUCAGCGUUGGAAAGAGGAGUAACACCCAGCUCAGCUCUGUGCGUUUAAUCGCUGGUUUGGUCCGCAGGAUAGCGCCCACAAAGCAAGGGUUCAGGCUAGCAAGGUGAGGAAGUUUAAAGCUGUAUCUAUAAUAUCAGUGCAAACAAAGGCCUUAUUUACGGCCCAGGUUCUUUAACCAGGGGACUUCCUAUGUGGAAUGCAGCUGUUAUAUAUUUGCAUGUGUCUUUCGGCUGUUUAUUUUUAUUGUGUUGAUACAUGUACAUAGCCUCCACACAAGACCAUUGGAUGCUCAGGAUUAGGUUUACAGUGGCCAGGGAAAUUAUAUAAUAGAGCC
ensembl:lncRNA